AUUGUGAGAAGUCCCUACUAAUGUCGAGAGCAUGUCACAAUCUUGUUGGAAAUAAGAUUGUGACAUGCUCUCGAUAUUAUCUGGGACUUGUCCGGU